rnacentral:rRNA from 1 species
CUCUAGAGAUAGAGCUUUCCCUUCGGGGACAAAGUGACAGGUGGUGCAUGGUUGUCGUCAGCUCGUGUCGUGAGAUGUUGGGUUAAGUCCCGCAACGAGCGCAACCCUUAUUGUUAGUUGCCAUCAUUUAGUUGGGCACUCUAGCGAGACUGCCGGUGACAAACCGGAGGAAGGUGGGGAUGACGUCAAAUCAUCAUGCCCCUUAUGACCUGGGCUACACACGUGCUACAAUGGGAAGUACAACGAGUCGCUAGACCGCGAGGUCAUGCAAAUCUCUUAAAGCUUCUCUCAGUUCGGAUUGCAGGCUGCAACUCGCCUGCAUGAAGCCGGAAUCGCUAGUAAUCGCGGAUCAGCACGCCGCGGUGAAUACGUUCCCGGGCCUUGUACACACCGCCCGUCACACCACGAGAGUUUGUAACACCCGAAGUCGGUGAGGUAACCUUUUUGGAGCCAGCCGCCUAAGGUGGGAUAGAUGAUUGGGGUGAAGUCGUAACAAGGUAGCCGUAUCGGAAGGUGCGGCUGGAUCACCUCCUUU